GUGCCCAUAGUUCAACGGCAGAACGUCUGACUGUGGAUCAGAAGGCUGUGGGUUCGAAACCCACUGGGCACCCCA
rnacentral:tRNA from 1 species